CCUACGGGUGGCAGCAGUGAGGAAUAUUGGUCAAUGGGCGUAAGCCUGAACCAGCCAAGUCGCGUGAGGGAUGAAGGUUCUAUGGAUCGUAAACCUCUUUUAUAAGGGGAUAAAGUGUGGGACGUGUCCUAUUUGGUAUGUACCUUAUGAAUAAGGAUCGGCUAACUCGGUGCCAGCAGCCGCGGUAAUACGGAGGAUCCGGGCGUUAACCGGAUUUAUUGGGUUUAAAGGGUGCGUAGGCGGCCUUUUAAGUCAGCGGUGAAAGCCCGGGGCUCAACCAUUGAAUUGCCGUUGAAACUGGGUGGCUUGAGUAUGUUUGAGGCAGGAGGAAUGCGUGGUGUAGCGGUGAAAUGCUUAGAUAUCACGCAGAACCCCGAUUGCGAAGGCAGCCUGCGAAGCCAUGACUGACGCUGAUGCACGAAAGCGUGGGGAUCAAACAGGAUUAGAUACCCUUGUAGUC
rnacentral:rRNA from 1 species